rnacentral:rRNA from 1 species
UACGUAGGUGGCAAGCGUUGUCCGGAUUUACUGGGCGUAAAGAGCGCGCAGGCGGUCGUUCAAGUCGCGUGUGAAAGCCCCCGGCUCAACUGGGGAGGGUCACGCGAUACUGAUCGACUCGAAGGCAGGAGAGGGAAGUGGAAUUCCCGGUGUAGUGGUGAAAUGCGUAGAUAUCGGGAGGAACACCAGUGGCGAAGGCGACUUCCUGGCCUGUUCUUGACGCUGAGGCACGAAGGUCAGGGGAGCAAACGGG